UUCUUUUAGAGUCAUUAAAAGUAGACCCUGCUCAGUGAAUUAUUUAACAGCCGCAGAACAACUGUGCUAAGGUAGCAUAAUAAUUUGCCUUUUAAUUAAAGGCUAGAAUGAAUGGGAUUACAUGAAAUAACCUGUUUCUUUUAUUUAUAUUAAAAUUAAAUUUAUAGUAAAAAUUCUAUAAAAAAUUAAUAGGACGACAAGACCCUGUCAAACUUCACUUUAGUUAAGCUGGGGUGGCAAAAAAAAAUUUCUUUUUAAUUUCAUCUAAUAAAUUUAAUAUAACAAGUUACUGCAGGGAUAACAGCAUAAUUUUUUUCUAGAGAACUUAUCUGAAAAAAAGAUUGUGACCUCGAUGUUGAAUAAAUUUUCUAAUUAACGCAGCAGUUAAUAUAGUAAGUCUGUUCGACUUUUAAAAAUUUACA
rnacentral:rRNA from 1 species